rnacentral:tRNA from 1 species
GCUCGUAUGGCUCAGUUGAUUGGAGCAUCGUCCGGUACACUGAAAGGUUGUGGGUUCGAUUCCCAGUAAGGGCA